rnacentral:rRNA from 1 species
CCUACGGGAGGCAGCAGUGGGGAAUAUUGCACAAUGGGGGAAACCCUGAUGCAGCGACGCCGCGUGAGUGAAGAAGUAUUUCGGUAUGUAAAGCUCUAUCAGCAGGGAAGAUAAUGACGGUACCUGACUAAGAAGCCCCGGCUAACUACGUGCCAGCAGCCGCGGUAAUACGUAGGGGGCAAGCGUUAUCCGGAUUUACUGGGUGUAAAGGGAGCGUAGGUGGCAGGGCAAGUCAGAUGUGAAAACCCGGGGCUCAACCCCGGGAGUGCAUUUGAAACUGUCCAGCUGGGGUGCAGGAGAGGUAAGCGGAAUUCCUAGUGUAGCGGUGAAAUGCAGAGAUAUUAGGAGGAACACCAGUGGCGAAGGCGGCUUACUGGACUGUAACUGACACUGAGGCUCGAAAGCGUGGGGAGCAAACAGGAUUAGAUACCCCUGUAGUC